rnacentral:rRNA from 1 species
CCUACGGGAGGCUGCAGUGAGGAAUAUUGGUCAAUGGGCGCGAGCCUGAACCAGCCAAGUCGCGUGAGGGAAGACGGCCCUACGGGUUGUAAACCUCUUUUGCCGGGGAGCAACGGGCGCCACGUGUGGCGCCACUGAGAGUACCCGGAGAAAAACCAUCGGCUAACUCCGUGCCAGCAGCCGCGGUAAUACGGGGGAUGCGAGCGUUAUCCGGAUUUAUGGGGUUUAAAGGGUGCGUAGGCGGAGCGUUAAGUCAGUGGUAAAAUGGAGGGGCUCAACCCCUUCCCGCCAUUGAAACUGGAGCUCUUGAGUGGAAGAGAAGUAUGCGGAAUGCGUGGUGUAGCGGUGAAAUGCAUAGAGAUCACGCAGAACCCCGAUUGCGAAGGCAGCAUGCCGGCUUCCGACUGACGCUGAAGCACGAAAGCGUGGGGAUCGAACAGGAUUAGAUACCCGUGUAGUC